rnacentral:rRNA from 1 species
GGAUCAAUGCGUCGGUCGUGCCACGCGUACGUACUAACGUCAUUGAUUCCUCCUUUCUGACGAACCGUGAUGUCAUUAAUUUGGUGUUACGGGGAGUUAGGACUGUUACCUUGAAAAAUUAGAGUGUUUAAAGCAGGCAAUUGCUCGAAUACAUUAGCAUGGAAUAAUGAAAUAGGACGUUCGACCCUAUUUUGUUGGUUUCUAGGAUCGACGUAAUGAUUA